AUUGAACGCUGGCGGCAGGCCUAACACAUGCAAGUCGAGCGGAUGAAGGGAGCUUGCUCCUGGAUUCAGCGGCGGACGGGUGAGUAAUGCCUAGGAAUCUGCCUGGUAGUGGGGGAUAACGUCCGGAAACGGGCGCUAAUACCGCAUACGUCCUGAGGGAGAAAGUGGGGGAUCUUCGGACCUCACGCUAUCAGGUGAGCCUAGGUGGGAUUAGCUAGUUGGUGGGGUAAGGGCCUACCAAGGCGACGUUCCGUAACUGGUCUGAGAGGAUGAUCAGUCACACUGGAACUGAGACACGGUCCAGACUCCUACGGGAGGCAGCAGUGGGGAAUAGUGGACAAAGGGCGAAAGCCUGAUCCAGCCAUGCCGCGUGUGUGAAGAAGGUCUUCGGAUUGUAAAGCACUUUAAGUUGGGAGGAAGGGCAGUAAGUUAAUACCUUGCUGUUUUGACGGUACCAACAGAAUAAGCACCGGCUAACUUCGUG
rnacentral:rRNA from 1 species